GGAGAGGUACGAAAGCGGCUUAAUCGGGCGGUCUUGAAAACCGCUGUACAGCAAUGUACCGUGGGUUCGAAUCCCACCCUCUCCGCCA
rnacentral:tRNA from 1 species